rnacentral:misc_RNA from 1 species
GAUGAAGAACGUAGCGAAAUGCGAUACUUGGUGUGAAUUGCAGAAUCCCGUGAACCAUCGAGUCUUUGAACGCAAGUUGCGCCUCAAGCCAUUAGGUUGAGGGCACGUCUGCCUGGGCGUCACAUAUCGUUGCCUGAUGCCAGUUUCCUCGUGAUGGGUGACUGUGCAGGGCGAAUGAUGGCUUCCCGUGAGCAUUGUUGCCUCAUGGUUGGUUGAAAAUUGAGUCCUUGGUAGGGAGCGCCGUGAUAGAUGGUGGUUGAGUGACGAACGAGACCCAAUCAUGUGAGACCCCUACCGAAUUUGGCCUUCAUGACCCACAUGCGUCUUUGGAACGCUCAUGACUAGACCUCAGGUCAGGCGGGGCUACCCGCUGAGUUUAAGCAUAUCAAUAAGCGGAGA